rnacentral:lncRNA from 1 species
CAAGUGCAUGUGAAUGUGCUUAUUCAUAUUUUGUUCUGUUUUCUUCCAGUUAUUCUGCAGACUCUUCUGCUGUCUACCCCAGAUUGACAGUGGUCUAUGGAGUACAAGUUGAGAAACACUGGUUUUAAAGUGUGCUGCUUUACUAAAGGGAUGACCAAUAGAAAAGUGAUAUGCACCCAAGAUUUGCAGUGAUGUGAUUUCUGUUCCUCUUCUCAGAACCAACUUCUGCUUUUCUCUCUAGCUCUCUGAUGCAGUGAAGCCUGAGCCGCUCAAGCCACGAACAAAUUCCUUUCUGAAAUGGAGUCUGAGGAAUCUUCCAUGUGCAGAAGCAAAGGCAGUAAUAGCAGUGGUUGGAAAAUGGAGCUGACAGCAAAUGUGAAGCUCAAAUUCUUCAUGUUUUCCUUCCUGAGGGCUCGAAGAUACUACAAGAGAUGUUGGAUGUGACAUGAAACAGGGGUCUAUUUACUACAUUUUGCAAGAGCUGAUAACUCCUGUCUUCUGGCUGAAGUCCAGCGUGAGUAACUAUUUUCAUACCUAAAAUUCCUCUACCGUUUCAGCUCAACGUGUUCUUCACUUCCUGAGUUAAACUGUGCAGCCCAGGAAUUGCUAAAUGGCAAGUGCCAAGCCUUAGCUCUGUUUUGGAUGAGCAAGGCUCCCUGGGAAAAAAGGAGAGAGGGAACGUUUGUUCCUAUAAAUUUAGUUCCUAGGGCUGUUCCCCACAGCUCUCUAAAGAGUCCAAUACACAUCUUCAUUGCAAUAAGAAAAUGAGAGAAUGGGAGAAAGAGCUGAAUCCAUUUGAGAUUUACAUGAGCAAUUGUCACAAGGGCAGAAAGCUACUGGACAUAGAGUCUCAUCAGCGUUGUCCUAAGGUGGUUCUGUGCUGAGCUCCUCCUGCAUGAGCUUUUUUUUUCCUCGGUGAGUCUUUCCACAGUAGAGAUCCUCCUGGUGGCAAAUCCCUUUUGCCUGGGAGACCACUUCUGAGUACAGCCA